AUGCGCCAGCCGAUGUUUUCAACUAGACGAGUAUGAAAGGGAAUACAGUGUUAGAUAUCAUCGAGGAUAUGUGACCAAAGGGUUUCAGAAGUCUUGAGAGAUGUAUGCAGAUCAAACCCAUCAAGUAAGCCAACACCAUGUCUACAAGGUCAUAUCUCUAGAACCUCUGACACCUGUACAGCUGAGGACAAAUCUAAAAGUGGACAGAGGGAUAGUAUGAAUGCUUCAGUGAAAUUAAGGAGCUCAGGUUCUAACAAGGGUAGUAGAGCAGUGCAACACAGAGGUACUCCGAUGUGCAAUUUUACAAAGUUUUUCCAGACAGUGAUUACAGCGAGGUCUGAAGACUACUGUACACAAUUUCUUAAAAAAUUCCAAAAAAAA